AUACGUAGGUGGCAAGCGUUGUCCGGAAUUAUUGGGCGUAAAGCGCAUGUAGGCGGUUUGGUAAGUCGGUCGUGAAAAUGCGGUGCUUAACGCCGUAUGGCGAUUGAAACUGCUGAACUUGAGUGCAGGAGAGGAAAGGGGAACUCCCAGUGUAGCGGUGAAAUGCGUAGAUAUUGGGAAGAACACCGGUGGCGAAGGAGCGUUUCGGGACUGUGACUGACGCUUAGAUGCGAAAGCCAGGGGAGCGAACGGGAUUAGAUACCCCGGUAGUCCUGGCCGUAAACGAUGGGUACUAGGUGUGGGAGGUAUCGACUCCUUCCGUGCCGGAGUUAACGCAAUAAGUACCCCGCCUGGGGAGUACGGCCGCAAGGCUUAAACUUAAAGGAAUUGACGGGG
rnacentral:rRNA from 1 species